AAAUCCUAAGGUGUGCGAGAGAACUCUCGUUAAGGAACUCGGCAAAAUGACCCCGUAACUUCGGGAGAAGGGGUGCUGACCGCAAGGUCAGCCGCAGUGAAUAGGCCCAAGCGACUGUUUAUCAAAAACACAGGUCUCUGCAAAAUCGAAAGAUGACGUAUAGGGGCUGACGCCUGCCCGGUGCUGGAAGGUUAAGAGGAGAGGUUAGCGCAAGCGAAGCUUUGAAUUGAAGCCCCAGUAAACGGCGGCCGUAACGAUAACGGUCCUAAGGUAGCGAAAUUCCUUGUCGGGUAAGUUCCGACCCGCACGAAAGGCGUAACGAUUUGGGCACUGUCUCAACGAGAGACUCGGUGAAAUUAUAGUACCAGUGAAGAUGCUGGUUACCCGCGACAGGACGGAAAGACCCCAUGGAGCUUUACUGCAGUUUGAUAUUGCGUGUUUGUAUCACAUGUACAGGAUAGGUAGGAGCCGAAGAUACCGGGACGCCAGUCUCGGAGGAGGCAACGGUGGGAUACUACCCUUGUGAUAUGACCACUCUAACCCGCUGCUCUUAGCGAGCAGGGAGACAGUGUCAGACGGGCAGUUUGACUGGGGCGGUCGCCUCCAAAAAUGUAACGGAGGCGCCCAAAGGUUCCCUCAGAAUGGUUGGAAAUCAUUCGUAGAGUGUAAAGGCAGAAGGGAGCUUGACUGCGAGACCUACAAGUCGAGCAGGGACGAAAGUCGGGCUUAGUGAUCCGGUGGUUCCGCAUGGAAGGGCCAUCGCUCAACGGAUAAAAGCUACCCUGGGGAUAACAGGCUUAUCUCCCCCAAGAGUUCACAUCGACGGGGAGGUUUGGCACCCCGAUGUCGGCUCAUCGCAUCCUGGGGCUGUAGUCGGUCCCAAGGGUUGGGCUGUUCGCCCAUUAAAGCAGUACGCGAGCUGGGUUCAGAACGUCGUGAGACAGUUCGGUCCCUAUCCGUCGCGGGCGUUGGAAAUUUGAGAGGAGCUGUCCUUAGUACGAGAGGACCGGGAUGGACACACCGCUGGUGUACCAGUUGUUCUGCCAAGAGCAUCGCUGGGUAGCUAUGUGUGGACGGGAUAAACGCUGAAAGCAUCUAAGCGUGAAGCCCCCCUCAAGAUGAGAUUUCCCAUCACUUUAAGUGAGUAAGACCCCUGAGAGAUGAUCAGGUAGAUAGGUUGGGAGUGGAAGUACAGCGAUGUAUGGAGCGGACCAAUACUAAUCGGUCGAGGACUUAACC
rnacentral:rRNA from 1 species